GUUCUGCGUUUGAAAAUGGCAAAUAGGUAAUUAAAAUUCUGACAAAAUUGACGUAUCUACAAACGAAACAUCAGCUGUACAAUCAUGCAAACUUAAAACUACAAAGUGUAUGGCAAUGUCAUAAUGUCCAUCGCAACGCAUAUAAUAACCAAUUAGCCACUACAAAAUGAAGCACAACCCAUGAAUGGGGUUUUUCAGAAAGCUUGUAAUACUUUACAUACUCGUAUAUAUAAUAUUUUAUUUAGGACUCGUCGGUGCACUUGUUUACGUUCGGAAUGUCAUUAUUGGACAGGAAAGAAUAUAACAUAAGCUACUGACACUGGAGCAAUAAAGAAAACCAUACUUUUUUGUAUACAAUUUAUUACAAAACACAGGCACUGAAAUUGGACGGAACUGGUAAUCAACACUACAAUGAAAAAUGUGUCAAAAUAAUUAAAAUUAACACAAAUAUGCAAAACAGUCAUUUGUAUAAAACAAAAAAAUAAACAAUAUCAAAAUAUUA